UAGAUGGGCGCGGGCCGGCCC
rnacentral:siRNA from 1 species